GCGAUUGGAGAAGGGGUGGUGUGCCGCUCCAAUCAGAAUCGUCGGAGGUGGGAGGCGGGAUCAGCCAGGCCUGCCGAAGUCCAGCCAAUCCCCCGCCUCAGAGUGUAACACAUGCAGGGAGAAACACAGGCAGCAGUGACACAGGGCAGCCGUAACACUCAUGUUUACUCUAUGUGAUAACUCCCUUGAACUGCAGCAACCAUCAAAAGACAAUCCAGGGAGCGAAUCCACGACAUCAUUCAUUCUUCCAGCUGAAGACGUGAUCGGUUUCCUCUUUCACUGGAACAGCAGAAUGCAUCCUUGCAUAACACUGCGGUUGAAAUGAAAACAAAAACAAACACGCGUGGCUUUGUGUGUUUUUGUUUGGCUCACAACACAAACGGUUCCCUUGCCACCCUUAUUGUCCUUCAUGAAGGACACCAUCAUGAAGAAGGGGUAUCAUGAGCUGCGUGUUUGUUCCCGUUCUCGCCUGCCAGCUAAUCUCUGUCGGCGGAGACAGAGCAGGGAGAAGAUCAGGUGCCUAAAGGAGCUCAUACACCAAUGUGCAACCAACCAAUCACAGCCUGGAUGGAGUGGGACAUUAAAAAAAGGUUGUGCACUACAGAAAACUUUUGAAAUAUUGAACUUGUUAAGUAUGAAUGGUUCUUAUCAUUGAGGAGUUAGUAGCAUGAAAAAAAUAUAUACUGUCAUGUAGACUGUUUUUCAUGCGCAAAGAUUUAAUAAAUGAAAACAACCCACAAAAAUUUAA